AGCGGAGUGGAGCAGCCUGGUAGCUCGUUCGGCUCAUAACCGAAAGGCCGUUGGUUCAAAUCCAACCUCCGCAACCA
rnacentral:tRNA from 1 species